rnacentral:rRNA from 1 species
AGAGCGAACGCUGGCGGCAUGCCUAACACAUGCAAGUCGAACGAAGGCUUCGGCCUUAGUGGCGCACGGGUGCGUAACGCGUGGGAAUCUACCCUUAGGUUCGGAAUAACAGUUGGAAACGACUGCUAAUACCGGAUGAUGACGUAAGUCCAAAGAUUUAUCGCCUAGGGAUGAGCCCGCGUAGGAUUAGCUAGUUGGUGUGGUAAAGGCGCACCAAGGCGACGAUCCUUAGCUGGUCUGAGAGGAUGAUCAGCCACACUGGGACUGAGACACGGCCCAGACUCCUACGGGAGGCAGCAGUGGGGAUAUUGGACAAUGGGCGAAAGCCUGAUCCAGCAAUGCCGCGUGAGUGAUGAAGGCCUUAGGGUUGUAAAGCUCUUUUACCCGGGAUGAUAAUGACAGUACCGGGAGAAUAAGCUCCGGCUAACUCCGCGCCAGCAGCCGC